rnacentral:misc_RNA from 1 species
AACGCAAAUUGCACUCCCUGGUAUUCCGGGGAGUAUGCCUGUUUGAGGGUCAGUUUAAGUAAAAAUCGAGGUGUUGCUUUUUUUUGUGACGCAUCGGAAUUGGGUUUAUCUUUUUUGUCCUUUGGAUUUUUAAGAGACCUAAAAUUGAUACCUUGUGCAUCUCAGACGUACAUAAGAAUUUUUUUUUUAUCCGUCCGGAGUUGCCAAUUUUUAUUAGGUAUGACCACGUUUUUUUUUUGUGUGGCAUCGUACCUAUAACAUACUCAUAUUUUGACCUCAAAUCAGGUAGGAGUACCCGCUGAACUUAA